AAGGUCCAAAUGAUUCAACAGUGUGACAUGGGAGGUAAAACAGUGAAUGCAAUCUCUGGCUAUGUUAAAAAGAAAAAGUGUCCAAAGGGAGGGCAGUUAUAGCUCUGCUAUACUAUACUAUACUAUACUAUACAGUAUUUGGCUUUAUUCACAUCCCAACUAGAAUCCUCUGUUCCAGGGGUGGGGAACCUUUGACCAUGAGGCUGUAUGUGACUUCAAGAUUGGAGGUUAUGUAAAAUUUGGAUUCAGUCAAAAGGCCCCACUUAAGGAUGUAGAAGGCCAUAUGUGGCCUCAAGGCUGAAGGUUCCUCACCCCUGUAGUCUGUUCAGCUCUAUAUGACCCAUUUUAGGAAAAAUAUUUGGAAUCCACCCAAAGGAAGGCAAUCAGGACAGUGUGGGGACUGGAAACCCUUUGAUUCAAGGAGCAGUUGAAAGAACUGCAGAUGAUUAGCCUGGAAAACAGAACACUGGAUUGGCAGGGGGAGGAGGGAACCUUUUGAGAAUGUAAAGGGCUGCCCUGUGGAAGACAGACUGGACUUGUUCUUUAUGGAGACAGAGGGCAGGGUCCAGAGCUACGGAUGGAAACUACAGAGACAGAUUUUGGCGGAACUAAGAAAAAAACUCCCUGACAAUAGACGCUGUCCCAAAGAGGAAGUGGAGGCGAGGAUAUUGUAGACGGAGUCGUGCAAGCAGACCUUUGCCGUCCUUUCCGAUCUCAAGAGCCUGUGAAAGCAGGAAGCAUGUUUUGCUACAAGUGGGGCAUUCCCCUGUUCCAUUUCCUUCAGUGCUUUAAAAUAUCUCUGGCUGUAAGUGGCUUCUGAGAGUAGCAGAGGGACAAAAGAAAAAGAAAAAAAAGAGGAGACUGAGAGACAUGCCUCUCAUCUAGAUUCCUUCUUACCAGCUUACAGAAACUGACUUUUUUUUUACUUCAAAGGGGAAAAAGAGCGAAUGUAACCUUUGGAAAGGAUUAGGUAGAGAACAUUCUGCCUCAUAUAAUCAAUCACCAACUGAGAUUGGAUCAAAUGAAAUAAGAAAACCUGAGGCUCUAUCCCUCAAAAUUAUGCCACCACCAGGAUGGACCUUCUCUAUGUAUACUGGGUCGAGAUAAGCGGCUCUUCCCAUCUUUGUUUUCUACAGUGCCACGGCCAUAUCUUCAUGUUGUCCAUUUGGGCCUGGAGUGUUUGGAGUCCAAAUGUGAUGUCUCCAUUGUCCUUGAUGGUGAAAAGAUUUUAUUAUAUAAAUCUUCAUAGAGUUUUUCUACUUUUACUAUUUUGUCCUCCCUUCCAGUUUCUCUGACCUACUCAAUAUUCAUGGAUGUCAUUAUCAAGUCUCCAUUGAAAUAUGCACAUUUUGCUUGCAUAGUCUGUAUUAAUUACUAUUUUUAUUAUAUUACAGUUUGUCAACCUCCUUCCAGUUUCAUCUUUAAAUAUCCUCCAGAUGUCUUUGCUUAAAUGGUUCUUUUGUCAAACUUUCUUUAAACUUGUUUUCCCUCCACUGCUUCUCACUAUUUUAUUAACCAAUAAGAUCCAUCAUCUUCUACCAUCCUCCUCUAUAAGAUUUUUAAAAUGAAUUUAUAUCUAAACUGG